rnacentral:pre_miRNA from 1 species
AUUUGAAUCACCUAGGGAUUUUGUUAAAAUGCAGAUUCUUAUUCAGUGGGUCUGGGUGGAGUCGGAAAGUCUGCAUUCCGAACAAGAUCCCACGUGAUGCCCAU